rnacentral:rRNA from 1 species
GACGAAGGGGGCUAGCGUUGUUCGGAAUUACUGGGCGUAAAGCGCGUGUAGGCGGUUGUUCAAGUCGGGUGUGAAAGCCUUGAGCUCAACUCAAGAAAUGCACUCGAUACUGGAUGACUUGAGGACCGGAGAGGAUAGUGGAAUUCCCAGUGUAGUGGUGAAAUACGUAGAGAUUGGGAAGAACACCAGUGGCGAAGGCGGCUAUCUGGACGGUUUCUGACGCUAAGACGCGAAAGCGUGGGGAGC